rnacentral:rRNA from 1 species
UUAAAUUGAAGAGUUUGAUCAUGGCUCAGAUUGAACGCUGGCGGCAGGCUUAACACAUGCAAGUCGAACGGUAACAUGAGUGCUUGCACUUGAUGACGAGUGGCGGACGGGUGAGUAAAGUAUGGGGAUCUGCCGAAUGGAGGGGGACAACAGUUGGAAACGACUGCUAAUACCGCAUAAAGUUGAGAGACCAAAGCAUGGGACCUUUGGGCCAUGCGCCAUUUGAUGAACCCAUAUGGGAUUAGCUAGUAGGUGGGGUAAAGGCUCACCUAGGCGACGAUCUCUAGCUGGUCUGAGAGGAUGGCCAGCCACACUGGAACUGAGACACGGUCCAGACUCCUACGGGAGGCAGCAGUGGGGAAUAUUGCACAAUGGGGGGAACCCUGAUGCAGCCAUGCCGCGUGUAUGAAGAAGGCCUUCGGGUUGUAAAGUACUUUCGGUGAUGAGGAAGGUGUUGUAUCUAAUAGGUGCAACAAUUGACGUUAAUUACAGAAGAAGCACCGGCUAACUCCGUGCCAGCAGCCGCGGUAAUACGGAGGGUGCGAGCGUUAAUCGGAAUGACUGGGCGUAAAGGGCAUGUAGGCGGAUAAUUAAGUUAGGUGUGAAAGCCCUGGGCUCAACCUAGGAAUUGCACUUAAAACUGGUUAACUAGAGUAUUGUAGAGGAAGGUAGAAUUCCACGUGUAGCGGUGAAAUGCGUAGAGAUGUGGAGGAAUACCGGUGGCGAAGGCGGCCUUCUGGACAGAUACUGACGCUGAGAUGCGAAAGCGUGGGGAGCAAACAGGAUUAGAUACCCUGGUAGUCCACGCUGUAAACGAUGUCGAUUUGGAGUUUGUUGCCUAGAGUGAUGGGCUCCGAAGCUAACGCGAUAAAUCGACCGCCUGGGGAGUACGGCCGCAAGGUUAAAACUCAAAUGAAUUGACGGGGGCCCGCACAAGCGGUGGAGCAUGUGGUUUAAUUCGAUGCAACGCGA